rnacentral:rRNA from 1 species
UAAUACGAAGGGACCUAGCGUAGUUCGGAAUUACUGGGCUUAAAGAGCUCGUAGGUGGUUAAGAAAGUUGGUGGUGAAAUCCCAAGGCUUAACCUUGGAACUGCCACCAAAACUUUUUAACUAGAGUAUGAUAGAGGUAAGUGGAAUUUCUAGUGUAGAGGUGAAAUUCGUAGAUAUUAGAAAGAGCACCAAUUGCGAAGGCAGCUUUCUGGAUCAUUACUGACACUGAGGAGCGAAAGCAUGGGUAGCGAAGAGGAUUAGAUACCCUCGUAGUCCAUGCCGUAAACGAUGUGUGCUAGACGUUGGAAACUUAGUUUUCAGUGUCGCAGCGAAAGCGUUAAGCACACCGCCUGGGGAGUACGACCGCAAGGUUA